rnacentral:rRNA from 1 species
CAAAUCGGCCUCAGAUUGGUAGGACUACCCGCUGAACUUAAGCAUAUCAAUAAGCGGAGGAAAAGAAACUAACAAGGAUUCCCCUAGUAACGGCGAGUGAAGAGGGAAGAGCCCAAGAUUGAAAGCUGGCGUCUUCGGCGUCCGCAUUGUAAUCUCAAGAAGUGUUUUCCGCUUCGGACCAUGCCUAAGUCCCUUGGAAAAGGGCAUCAUAGAGGGUGAUAAUCCCGUUCAUGGCAUGGAGCGCCCGAAGCUUUGUGAUACGCUUUCUAAGAGUCGAGUUGUUUGGGAAUGCAGCUCAAAAUGGGUGGUAAAUGCCAUCUAAGGCUAAAUAUUGGGGAGAGACCGAUAGCGAACAAGUACAGUGAUGGAAAGAUGAAAAGAACUUUGAAAAGAGAGUUAAACAGUACGUGAAAUUGCCAAAAGGGAAGGGUAGGAGGUCAGAGAUGCGUCUUGGAAUUCAGCCUUGCUUCUGCUUGGUGUUUUUUCCAUUUUGCAGGCCAACGUCGGUUUUGGGCACUGGAGAAGGGUGGAAGGAACGUGGCACCUCUCGGGGUGUGUUAUAGCCUUCUACUGGAUACAGCGACCGAGACCGAGGACAGCAGCGUACUCGCAAGAGCGGGCCUUCGGGCACCUUUACGCUUAGGGCGUUGGCAUAAUGGCCCUCUACCACCCGUCUUGAAACACGGACC